rnacentral:tRNA from 1 species
GCCUGGGUGGCUCAGUGGGUGGGGUGUCUGAUUUCAGCUCAGGUCAUGAUCUCACAGUGUGUGUUCCAGCCCCACAUCAGGCU